AACGCACAUUGCGCCCCUUGGUAUUCCAUGGGGCAUGCCUGUUCGAGCGUCAUCUAAACCCUCAAGCCCCUUGGGUGUUGUCCCGCCUUGUGCGCGGAUUCCGCCUGGCUUGGUGUUGGGUGCCUGUCCCGCUCCCUGUGUGGACUCACCCCAAAUGCAUUGGCAGCAGCCCCUCGGCUUCUCGCGCAGCACAUUGCGUAGCGGAGCGUGGCGAGGCUUGCGUCCAGCAAGCAAACCCCCCAAGUUUGACCUCGGAUCAGGUAGGGAUACCCGCUGAACUUAA
rnacentral:misc_RNA from 1 species